rnacentral:rRNA from 1 species
AAUGAACGUUGGCGGCGUGGAUUAGGCAUGCAAGUCGAGCGGAAAGGCCCGCAAGGGCACUCGAGCGGCGUAAGGGACAGUAAUGUGUAGGUAACGUACCCCUGGGUCUAGGAUAGCUGCGGGAAACUGCAAUUAAUACUAGAUAACGUCUCCGGACCAAAGGUGUGAUUCCACCUGGGGAGCGGCCUACAUCCUAUUAGCUAGUUGGCGAGGUAAUGGCUCACCAAGGCGAAGAUGGGUAGCAGGUGUGAGAGCACGACCUGCGUCCCUGGGACUGAGACACUGCCCAGACACCUACGGGUGGCUGCAGUCGAGAAUCUUCGGCAAUGGGCGAAAGCCUGACCGAGCGACGCCGCGUGUGGGAUGAAGGCCUUCGGGUUGUAAACCACUGUCGGAGGGGAUGAAAUGUUAGUGGGUACUCCCAUUAACUUGACUGAUCCUCGGAGGAAGGGUGGGCUAAGUUCGUGCCAGCCGCCGCGGUAAUAC